CGUAGGUGGCAAGCGUUGUCCGGAUUUAUUGGGUUUAAAGGGUGCGUAGGCGGCCCUGUAAGUCAGUGGUGAAAUAUCUCAGCUUAACUGAGAGGGUGCCAUUGAUACUGCGGGGCUUGAGUACAGAUGAGGUAGGCGGAAUUGACGGUGUAGCGGUGAAAUGCAUAGAUAUCGUCAAGAACUCCAAUAGCGAAGGCAGCUUACUAAGCUGUAACUGACGCUGAGGCACGAAAGUGUGGGGAUCAAACAGGAUUAGAUACCCUGGUAGUCCACACUGUAAACGUUGAUGACUCGAUGUUGGCGAUACACAGCCAGCGUCCAAGAGCAAUCGUUAAGUCAUCCACCUGGGGAGUACGCCGGCAACGGUG
rnacentral:rRNA from 1 species